rnacentral:rRNA from 1 species
CCUACGGGUGGCUGCAGUGAGGAAUAUUGGUCAAUGGACGAGAGUCUGAACCAGCCAAGUAGCGUGAAGGAUGACUGCCCUAUGGGUUGUAAACUUCUUUUAUAUGGGAAUAAAACGUUCCACGUGUGGGAUUUUGUAUGUACCAUAUGAAUAAGGAUCGGCUAACUCCGUGCCAGCAGCCGCGGUAAUACGGAGGGUCCGAGCGUUAUCCGGAUUUAUUGGGUUUAAAGGGAGCGUAGGUGGAUUGUUAAGUCAGUUGUGAAAGUUUGCGGCUCAACCGUAAAAUUGCAGUUGAAACUGGCAGUCUUGAGUACAGUAGAGGUGGGCGGAAUUCGUGGUGUAGCGGUGAAAUGCUUAGAUAUCACGAAGAACUCCGAUUGCGAAGGCAGUUCACUGGACUGCAACUGACACUGAGGCUCGAAAGUGUGGGUAUCAAACAGGAUUAGAUACCCUUGUAGUC